rnacentral:rRNA from 1 species
GACGAACGCUGGCGGCGUGCUUAACACAUGCAAGUCGAACGGAAAGGCCCUGCUUUUGUUGGGUGCUCGAGUGGCGAACGGGUGAGUAACACGUGAGUAACCUGCCCUUGACUCUGGGAUAACUUCAGGAAACUGGGGCUAAUACCGGAUAGGAGCUCUUGCUGCAUGGUGGGGGUUGGAAAGUUUCGGCGGUUGGGGAUGGACUCGCGGCGGAUCAGCUUGUUGGUGGGGUAGUGUCUUACCAAGGCUUUGACGGGUAGCCGGCCUGAGAGGGUGACCGGCCACAUUGGGCCUGAGAUGCGGCCCAGACUCCUACGGGACGCAGCAGUGGAGAAUAGUGCACAAUAGGCGGAAGCCUGAUGCAGCAACGCCGCGUGCGGGAAAACAGCCUUCGGGUUGUAAACCGAUUUCGCCUGUGACGAAGCGUGAGUGACGGUAAUGGAUAAAGAAGCACCGGCUAACUACGUG